rnacentral:rRNA from 1 species
GAUGAACGCUGGCGGCGUGCCUAAUACAUGCAAGUCGAACGGGGAGUAGCAAUACUCUUAGUGGCGAACGGGUGAGUAACGCGUUGGUACCUGCCCCGAAGCGGGGGAUAACGGACCGAAAGGUCCGCUAAUACCCCAUGUGCUCGGUAACGAGUAAAGGUGAAAACCACUUUGGGAGGGGCAUGCGUCCCAUCAGCUAGUUGGUAAGGUAACGGCUUACCAAGGCGAUGACGGGUAGGGGACCUGAGAGGGUGGCCCCCCACAAUGGAACUGAAACACGGUCCAAACCCCUACGGGUGGCAGCAGUAGGGAAUAUUGGGAAGGGGCGCAAGCCUGAACCAGCAACGCCGCGUGGGCGAUGACGGCCUUCGGGUUGUAAAGCACUUUUGACUGGGAGGGGGAAGGACGGUACCGGUCGAAUCAGCCUCGGCUAACUACGU